rnacentral:lncRNA from 10 species
CUACCAACAUUGCGGUGACCCGCAUUUCCCUAGGGCAAAGCAGUGCUAGGAAUGAGACCGUAAUCCCACACAACAAACACACCCACACUACUUCUUUUUUUUUUUUUUUUUUUUUUUUUUUUGAGACAGAGUCUCACUCUCUCGCCAGGCCGAAGUGCAGUGGUGUGAUCUCAGCUCACUGCAACCUCUGCCUGCUGGGUUCAAGAGAUUCUCCUGCCUCAGCCUCCUGAGUAGUUGGGACUACAGGCAUGGACCACCAAGCCCAGCUAAUUUUUGUAUUUUUAGUAGAGAUGGAGUUUCAUCAUGUUGGCCAGGAUGGUCUCAAUCUCCUGACCUCAUGAUCCACCGGCCUCGGCCUCCCAAAGUGCUGGGAUUACAGGCAUGAGCCACCGCGCCCGGCCUACACACCCACACUUCUAUGAUGUUUGCAGAAAUAGAGCUGGCUAGCCGUGGGGACCACAGAACGAUCGAUUGAAGCGGAAGACAGUCGUCAUUGUUAUUGGAAUGACUUCCAGAUGAAGCUCUUCAUUACUGUUGCAGAGCUGCUGAGGAAUGGUGGAACCAGCCCAUGUUGGAGUCCCCUCCUUCUGCGGUCACCCCAGAGGAGGGUGGCACAGCCAGAGUCACCAGAGGAGGCCACCAGGCAGACGGAGAGGAAGACAUGGAAAUGGCAUAUGGGCCAUCAGGUCCAGCACAGGGAGUGGCUGAAUUCCUGAGAAUCCUGCAGCAGACCAAAGAUGGGGUGCAGCCAUCACAUGCAAAUUCAAACCAAGGUGCUUCACUCACUAGUGGAAGGCAGGUCCUGUCUUCCCAGAACAGACUCUCAAAGGACAAAAUGUGGAAAGUAUGAAAGAAAAGCUGCCAUCAAAGUCUGCAGUCC